AUUGAACGCUGGCGGCAGGCCUAACACAUGCAAGUCGAGCGGAUGAAGGGAGCUUGCUCCUGGAUUCAGCGGCGGACGGGUGAGUAAUGCCUAGGAAUCUGCCUGGUAGUGGGGGAUAACGUCCGGAAACGGGCGCUAAUACCGCAUACGUCCUGAGGGAGAAAGUGGGGGAUCUUCGGCCCUCUCGCUAUCAGAUGAGCCUAGGUCGGAUUAGCUAGUUGGUGGGGUAAAGGCCUACCAAGGCGACGAUCCGUAACUGGUCUGAGAGGAUGAUCAGUCACACUGGAACUGAGACACGGUCCAGACUCCUACGGGAGGCAGCAGUGGGGAAUAUUGGACAAUGGGCGAAAGCCUGAUCCAGCCAUGCCGCGUGUGUGAAGAAGGUCUUCGGAUUGUAAAGCACUUUAAGUUGGGAGGAAGGGCAGUAAGUUAAUACCUUGCUGUUUUGACGUUACCAACAGAAUAAGCACCGGCUAACUUCGUG
rnacentral:rRNA from 1 species